UGGACACACAGAUUGAUGAACAGCCUGACUCAUUAGACACUAAUGACAGUCAAAGUCGUGGAACUUUGCCCACUCAUUCAGAUAAAGUAAGUUCUGAGACAGCUGAGAGAAGAGAGAAAAUGCCUGAGGAAACACAAGAUACUGCUUCUUCUCACUCCUCAUCACCUCACAGCAACGGAAAUGGAGGGGUCCAGCAGGCUCAGACGGGAGAGAGCAGUUGUCAAAAUGUUUUGGGCUCUGAGUGUAUGGUGGAGGAGGCUUAUA